rnacentral:tRNA from 1 species
GGGAAGGUGGCUCAGUGGUAGAGCGCUUGCCUUGUAUGCCUGAGGCCCUGGGUUCGAUUCCUCAGCCCCA